rnacentral:rRNA from 1 species
GACGAACGCUGGCGGCGUGCUUAACACAUGCAAGUCGAACGGUGACGACAGGGCUUGCCUUGUCUGAUCAGUGGCGAACGGGUGAGUAACACGUGAGUAACCUGCCCCAGACUCUGGGAUAACCCCGGGAAACCGGAGCUAAUACCGGAUAUGACCCUCGCAUGCAUGUGCAGGGGGUGGAAAGUUUUUCGGUCUGGGAUGGACUCGCGGCCUAUCAGCUUGUUGGUGAGGUAGUGGCUCACCAAGGCGACGACGGGUAGCCGGCCUGAGAGGGCGACCGGCCACACUGGGACUGAGACACGGCCCAG